GCGAUGCGGCUGCAGGUCAUUCCUUCGGUGGUUGUCGAACUAGUAAUACGCGAGCGAGUGUGCUACAACAAAUAUUCGUUCGUGCAUACUUCAUACGUCCCAGAGAUCAGUUAUAUAAGCAAUUCAGGCAGUUGAAGCAAUUUCUUCAUUCUUACUAGUCAUUUGUUUAAGCAAUCAAUAUAAGAGAUACACUAAACCAACCGAGGACGAAAGCAGUUCCAAGAGCCUGGAUGUAUUGCAAAGGAGCCGAAUUUACUUAUACUGGAAUUUUAAAUUCCAAAGAAGAUACAAAAAGUUCAACAACGCUCCACCAGAUAAUAUAACAUUGCACAUCCAAAGUGAAACACAUUUUCAUUGACACUUUCUGCUCUUCCGUACAUCCGACUAUACGUCCUAUAUGGAUAGUAGAAGUCAAGCCAGACCAUCAACGAGAUUAAUAUAUGGAAACAUUUUCCUUUUUACGUUUAUGUUUAAAUGGAAAAUCAAUCAAUGCUGUGUUUAUUGAAUGAUUAUAUGCAGCCGAAGAAAGUAUUUUUAGUUCUAAGUGAAUUUAUCACAAAUAUUCCAAAUGGAGUGAAACCCAAAUUGGAGUAAUUAUUCGGUAAUUUCUAUAAUAUACAAAUGAAAUUUUUUAAGAAAUCUUAUACAUAUGGCUACUGCUGAAUUUAAAGUAUAUUGAUGGAAUAAUAGAAUGACUAGUGAUAAUGGUGUUUCAACGGUUUUUAUUGCUUAUAAAGCUCGUCGUUCGGACGUAUGAGAGCUAGGGAUUAUUUCGCGUAUGACACAUACUUGCGUAUUACUGGAUCGAAAAUCACGGGAGGAAUGACUUCCCCUGGUUAAGUUAAUCCCACGUCGUUUCGUUAGAAGACCAAGUUUCCUAGAUUUUAAUUUUCUAGUUUGGGGAUGAAAAAUAUCCCCUCUCCUGUAACUAUAUUUUUAUUUUAUUUUCCCAUCUCCUGUAGACAUAUUUUUAUUUUUUGCACUUGAAUGACUUUUUGCACUUAUAAAAUUAUUUCAUAAAACUUGGCAUCUUCUAAUGAAAUUGACAAUUAAGUUUCUCUUUUUUAAUUGCAAUAUUCACGUAAAACUGUAAUUAUUUAUAAUAUAAUUCGUUAUUAUUAAUAAUUUUUGUAUUAAUAAUUUCAAAUUAUUUUAAUAAUAAUAUCAGAAACAAUAAAUAUUGUAAUUAUCAACAUUAAUUUCUUUCAAUUUAAUCGUAAUAUCAUAUACGAAAUAUGUAAUGUUUCUUCUUUCGUAAGUUCAAGUUGAACUUAAAAAUAGUAUUCUGAUAUUAUUUGGUAUUACUGAUAUUACAAUUUUCGUACUAUGUAAUUCGUAUUGUAAAAUAUUCUGUUGUUAAAAAAUUUUUUCGUAGGAAGUUAUAUCUACUUCCAUUUUCCUUAAAAGCACUCUCUUCAAAUAGCACCUUCUUAUCUUGUAAACAUAUAUAUGUUGCUUAAGUUACCCUAGAAUUCAUUUCCGUUAUUGCACGAUAAUAAAAACAAGUAUGCGAAGAAAA